AAUUUUCUGAAUCCGUGCAGAGAUUUCGUCAGACACCAACUCAUUAAAGCAGAUCAGAUUUUCAAGAUAAGUGAAGUU
rnacentral:pre_miRNA from 1 species